GGAUUCAUUGGGCGUAAAGCGUCCGCAGGUGGUUUAAAAAGUUGAUGGUUAAAUCUUGAGGCUUAACUUCGAGACUGCUGUCAAUACUGUUAAACUAGAGGUUGGUAGAGGCAAACGGAACUAUCGGUGUAGUCGUAAUAAGCGCUGAUAUCGAUAGGAACACCAAAGGCGAAGGCAGUUUGCUAGAACAAACCUGACACUCAUGGACCAAAGCGUGGGGAGCGAAUAGGAUUAGAUACCCUAGUAGUCCACGCCCUAAACGAUGUGUACUAGGUAUUGGGAGUAUCGACCCUCUCAGUGCCGUUUUAAAAAGCUAACGCGUUAAGUACACCGCCUGGGGAGUACGGCCGCAAGGUUAAAACUCAAAGGAAUAGACGGGGACCCGCACAAGCGGAGGAUCAUGCGGUUUAAUUCGAUGGUACGCGGCGAACCUUACCUGGGCUCAACUACUAACUGCAAGCCUCUGGAAACAGAGGAUUCCUUAGAGGGUGUUAGAUAGGUGCUGCAUGGUUGCCGUCAGCUCGUGCCGUGAGGUGUACAGUUAAGUCUGGUAACGAGCGCAACCCCUAUGCUGUGUUAAAUGCACACAGCAGACUGCCUGUUUAAACAGGAGGAAGGCGGGGAUGACGUCAAAUCAGCAUGGCUCUUACGUCCAGGGCCACACGCAUGAUACAAUGGCCGGUACAGAGGGUUGCGAAGCCGUAAGGUGGAGCUAAUCCCAGAAAGCCGGUCUCAGUUCGGAUUGAGGGCUGCAACUCGUCCUCAUGAAGCUGGAUUCGCUAGUAAUUGCGCAUCAGAACGGCGCAGUGAAUACGUUCUCGGGUCUUGUACUCACCGCCCGUCACACCACGAAAGUUGGCAAUGUCCAAAAGCUCCUUACGGGGACUAAGGCAGGGUCAAUGAUCAGGGUGAAGUCGUAACAAGGCAUCCCUAGCGGAAGCUGGGGAUGGAUCACCUCCUU
rnacentral:rRNA from 1 species